rnacentral:lncRNA from 1 species
CUCACGUGAAGUCAUCCAAGUGCACGAUUCUCGAGAUCGAUCGAUUGUAUGGAGCUUAGAAGGCCGCAUGCCUGGCUUCUUUAGCUUCGUAGUUCGUCACAUUAGCUGCACGCGUAUCGAAAAUUUUAGGCAUGUAUGAGACGUAUUGGUAGAAUUGUUUUUGUCCCUGAAUAUUUGUAGUCGAGGUUGUUGAGCUUGCUUCACUUUUGUGAGGUCACGUCGACGAUGACUGUCUUUAUUUUCGGGCUUUCGUGACGGGAAGGCAUGAAUUAAUCGCAAAUCGCAGAGAUCGGAUGAUUACUCAAAGGCGUAUGGGCACGAGGUGUAUGAUCAAGCAUGCGGUCUGUGCCAUUCCUGCGAUCA